GAAAAGCUUCGGCAAUUUGGCGUGCGCAAGCGCACGCGACUGCUACCGAUUAUAUCCGAAACCGUGUCGCCUUUUUGUUGGUUGAUGACCAUUUGCGUCGGCGGCGAAACCGGAAUAAAAGCGAUUCCAUCUGAGUUCUCUUUACAGAGAUCGACAGUCGUUAGAAUGAAAAUCGAUCGAUCUUAAAUGUUUCUUUAUGUCUUCAUUAAUCAUACAGACCAAUGUUCUAUUGACCAUAGUAAGUACUAAAGACGGAAGAGGCUUGUUAUCGUAGAAACCAGAGGGGUCGAGUGUAAGGAGUUCCCAAAGGAAUUGGCCGCGACGAAAGUCGACGACUCGUGGGAAAGUUAAGGGGCGCCAACCGUUUUUGAAACGGAGAAUACAUAGCAGCACCAAGAGACGCUGGGGGUGGACAUGUAAUUGAUACGCUUCGCAGGACCGUGUUUGAAUUUCAUUAAGGCCCUAAUGCCACCUCUGGAUCUAUUCCGCUUCACUGGUUCAUCCACUCGAACGAUCAGGAAUCCACUGACCAGACACUUUGUCGCUCUUUCUUUCUCCUCUGGCGACAGUCUCACGAUUCAAAAGUGCAUCGGUUCUUGAGCUUCUUCUGAAGAAUUAGCUUCCGUGAACGCGCGAAAUUUGCAUGGGAAAGUUCAAGAGAUAAGUCAGGAGUUUUUGCACGCAACUUUCAGAGAUUGAGUUACAUUUUUGUGAAAUUUUAACAAAACUUGCAAUAUUAUUUUUUGAAUAAUAUUAAAGCAAGAAAUCUAUUCGAUGUGGGAUACAUUACUUGAUAAAUCAUGUCAAGAAUUUCACUAUCUAAUCAAUUUAAAUAUCUAUAUAUAUAUUUUUGAAAAUGAUGUAUAGAAACUAGGAAAGAAAUAAUCUGGAAGAAAUUAAAGAUUAAAGAAAAAAUAAAAAUUCUAAAAGAUUAAAUAAUGAAAUACAAAAUGUUUGUCAGGACAAUUGUUAAAUAUGCUAAUAUUUAAAUUAUCUGUCUAAAUAUAUAUUUACAAUAUGAUUCACGAUAACCUGACAUCCAAAAUCAUGAAAAAGAAAAUAGAAAAAAAAAUAAUUUACCUCAAUAAACUAUCUAUCAAAUCGAACAGAUAUCAUGAUCGAUUCUUCUCGAAAACAGCGGCUCGUUCCCCAGAGAUCUAAGCGACCGACGUAACCGUCACGAUCGAACCCUCCGGUUUUCGAUUCGUGAACGAGAAACGAAAAUAAGGAAAGAGAGAAAAGAAGAGAGAAGGAAGUCUGUCGAAAAAGGAUCGCUGUGUGUGCUCCUCGCGGAAAAAAAGACAAGUCCACCACUGUGGGAGAUCGCGUACGCAGGGUGCAGUCCAGUCGAGAAGUCGUGAGAGUAAACCUGACGAGCGAGAGAAGGACGAACAGAAUCACCUGCGGUGCACCUGCUGUGCAGGGGGCUCCUUCAGUCCCGUAUUAAAAGUGUAUCAGACCUUCUCCUCCUCCUCCAUCUCUUUUCCCUUCUUCUUCUUCUUCUUCCUCUUCUUCUUCUUGUUCUUCUCUGCUUCAUCUCUUUCUUCUCUGUUUCAUUCCUUGAUCCUCUUCAUAUUCUUUUUUUUCUUCUCAUUCUUCGAUUCUCUUCUCUUCUUCUCAUUCUUUGAUUCUCUUCUCUUAUCUCUUACGAUAUCCUUUGCUUUUUCCACAUUUACUCUUUCUUUUUUUUCUAUUCUAUUCGCUUCAUCCUUUAAUCUCUUCAUUAUCCUUUAUUCUUAUUCUCUCUUUAUUUCUUUUUCUUCUCAUUUUUCUCUCCUUCAAUUUCCUUCAUUCUUAUUCUCAUUCUUCUUCCUCUUUUUAUCCAGGUCAUUUUUCUUUAUUAUUUUUUCUUCGUUUAUCAUGAUCCAUUUAAUUUCAUUUUAAUUUCAUAAUUUUUCCAUUCCAAAAUAUGGAAUUCUACUCUCAUAAUAAUUGUUUCAGUUCGAUUUUUGGUUUUUGCUGGAAAUGUGAUCUAAGAAUGGGCAUGAUUUUUUCCAUGCAUUUUUUUAAUUAAUCCAGGACGAUUUAAAAGGGACAAGUCUGUCGAUUGAAUGUAUUGACCAAAACGAAGUCAAGGGUAAUUACAUAAUAAUUACAUAAUUGAACGAUUGCUAUUCACGAUCACAGGUAUGUACAAAGUAGUUUCUUCUGACGCAAUCUCGUUGUUCUCUCAUUCCUCUUUUCACCCAUUUUCAUUCUCGAAGACGCUUAGUUACGUUUCGCAACGGUGGUCGUCGUUUUAUAACUGUGCCUAUCUAAGAAAUCUCUGCAUUGAGGGAGCAUUAUCCGUUCUCUUCAUUUCUCAAUGUCGCGCGCCAACUUUACGUCGAUUCGAUACGUAAUUUGUUGAUGUUUUUCAUUUCUGUGACAAAUAAACACCACGAGAUACUUUGAAGAUAAACUUGUUGAAAACGAUUGUGGUAGAAUUAUUUGUGAGAAUUCGUAUCUUAUUUCUAUUUUCUGUAUAACAUAAUAAAACAUCAUCAUUAUAUUAUUGGAUUGAAUAUUUUUAGUAUAUUAUAUGAGUCAUUUAAAUCCUUGAUCCUGAAUAUUUUCGAAAUUAUUUAAUCCUUUAUGAAGUUUCUGACACAAUAUUAUAUUUUUCUAGAAUUUUUUUUCUGAUUUUUCUUUGAUGUAACAUUUCAUGCAUUAAAUUCUACUUUGAAUAUAUUCAUGAAUUUUAACAUUUCUGUUAUUAUAUUUACCACUUAUAUUAAGUAUUUUAUUACUAUAUACUAAUGAAUUUUAUUCUAUCUAAUUAAAUUGAAUAAGGGACUCUAGAUUAAUUAAAGAAAAAAAUUGAAAUUAAUAUAAGAGCUGAAAGACAGGUUGCUUUCUUUUUCUUACAGUUACUAAUUCGUAGAAAGGUGCGGGCGCCUCCUUGGAGACAGAGGUGAGAGAGAAGGUGGUGGUGAAGAAGGUCAAAGCGAUUUUCCCUCUAACGGACGAGCUAGAGAGGAGUCGUGGCGGUGAGAGAGCCGCGGUCGCAUUUGUUUCACGGCAGCCAGCAGGAGCAGCAACGGCCAACAGGUGUAUAGCAGGUGCACACCCCGAGCGGCAUCGAGAGUGCCGUGGAGAGCUAAAAAGUUUCACGUCCACCUGAAGGUCCCACACGAGAAACCGGCCGACUUUCAACCGUCGUUUUCUUCAGCGCCACCACCCCUCGACUCCCACCCCACGUAGCCCGCACUCGCCAUGUAUAUACGUUUGUCGAAUGAACAAACGGACGAUGAAACCAACGAACUAACUCGUUGUUACCUUCUUGCGACAGCAUAAUGUUAUACGGUUGAGAAAGAAACGGUAGAACCCACUUCCCAAUAUUUCAAACCGAAUUCUUGAGGCCUUAAGGUCGUUGUCCUAAUCAUCAAUUAGCCACGUGAACACAUAUCUGUAUCCAUUUAAAAGCAUAACAAAAAAAUUAUAACUAAUUCCAAUUGGCUAUACAUAAGUGUGGAUAAGAUAUCAUAUAUGGAUGUUUUGAUAAAACAGAGGUAAUCAAUUAUAUUUUGAUUAUUACAAUAAUUGAAAGUAUCAAUUAUUGAAAGUAAUAAUAAUUAUCAUAAGGAAUAACCUAAUAAUAUUGCACAAUAUUAUACAUUAUAUGUAUGCAUAUUCAUUGUGAUUAAAACUGAAAGAAGAUUUGAUACAGCUUUUCAAAAAGGAAGUAGAAGAUGAAUAAGAAAAUCUCCAUAAAAACCAGAAGAAUUAAAUGAGAAAUGUGAUCUAUUUAGUGUUGGGGCGAAGAAAAGAAAUUUUUUGGACGAAUAAAAAAGAAAAAAAACUUUAAGAAAGACAAAGAGAAUCAAUGAAGAAGUAAAAAAUAUAAUAGGCGAGGAAAAGAAGAUUCAAAGAUAAAGAUAAAGGGAAGAAAAUCUCGAUGAAAACCGGAAGAGUGGAGAAGAAUAGAAGAGGGAUGGAAGAAGACACGUGGAAGAAGGUGCCAGUCGGAGAGAAGCACCUGCGUCUCAUUAUCGAUCAUCUAUCGAACGAGGCCUCCAGUCGGGGGCUAUCCUCGAAAUCACUAUGCGCCGCUAUGUUUCCAACCGUUGAAAAUCCACCCUGUGUCGUGGCUGAUGUCAGGUGCUUCUUCCUGGACGGCAAGUGCAGGCGGCGCGAGGUGCUUUUUCGAUUUAAUGACACGUUGUCCCACACAAGCGUGGCAACGUACACGCGCCCUAUGCUUAUACCUUUCUUCUCUUUGCUCCUCUUCCCGGAUUUCCGUUUCCAUUCCGUUUCGUUCGCCGUUACCAACCACCGUUUGAAUCAAUCGAGAAAGAAACUUCUGGCGAACGCGAUGGCGCGCGAAUAACGAACGAUUAAUAAAGUUAGCAAAGAAUUAUUUUUGUUUAAAGAUCAAAUUAAUAUAUAUCUAUAUAUAGAUAUAUAUUUCUACUAAACAUUUAAUAAUGUUGAAAAUUUUUACAAGCGAUUAAUUAAUUAAUUAAUAUUUUUCUUCAUUUAUACUUCAAUUUCAAAGUAAAAAUAAGUAAAAAAUUUGUCUCUCUUCAAUUAAAACAAGUAAAAAACUUUCGUAUUAUGCAAGUGAAAGUUAAUUAACAAAUUUCUACUUGCAAUAUGUAGAACUGAAAUAAAUUAAUAAUUAAGUAGAUAUAAUGAUAUAUAUUUUAAAAUUUAUUUAAUUGCAAUUGCAUAUAUUUAAAUUUAUUUAAUAAUUCAUGGAUAUAAAUAUAUAAUAUAAAUGGAAAUAUAUUAUAUAAUAAAAAUCGAUCGAAAAACUAUACAUAGUUAUAUAUUAAAUAAAUUAUAUGAUUAAAAAUUAAUGUUUCAUACAAAUAUACAAAUAUACGUCAAAUAUAUAAUAUCUAUUUUAUUAAUAUCAGAAUAUCUAUUAUAUUAGAUAUAUAUUUACCUCUAUAUUAAAUAAUUAUUAAAUAUUAUUUUUGUAUAAUAAUUUAACUUUUAUUUAUACAUUAGAUGUAUAUUAUACCAUUUACAUUAACUAAUUGUAUUAAUUUGCAUUUUCUAAUUAAUUACUUUCAAGUAUAUUAUACUCCAUAUCAUUUCUUAAUAUUUCCACAUAGCAGUCAAUAAAUUUGAUACCAUGAAA